GCCUAACACAUGCAAGUCGAACGAAGCAAUUAAGAUGAAGUUUUCGGAUGGAAUCUUGAUUGACUGAGUGGCGGACGGGUGAGUAACGCGUGGAUAACCUGCCUCACACUGGGGGAUAACAGUUAGAAAUGACUGCUAAUACCGCAUAAGCGCACAGUGCCGCAUGGCAGUGUGUGAAAAACUCCGGUGGUGUGAGAUGGAUCCGCGUCUGAUUAGCCAGUUGGCGGGGUAACGGCCCACCAAAGCGACGAUCAGUAGCCGACCUGAGAGGGUGACCGGCCACAUUGGGACUGAGACACGGCCCAAACUCCUACGGGAGGCAGCAGUGGGGAAUAUUGCACAAUGGGCGAAAGCCUGAUGCAGCGACGCCGCGUGAGUGAAGAAGUAUUUCGGUAUGUAAAGCUCUAUCAGCAGGGAAGAAAAUGACGGUACCUGACUAAGAAGCCCCGGCUAACUACGUGCCAGCAGCCGCGGUAAUACGUANGGGGCAAGCGUUAUCCGGAUUUACUGGGUGUAAAGGGAGCGUAGACGGCGAAGCAAGUCUGAAGUGAAAACCCAGGGCUCAACCCUGGGACUGCUUUGGAAACUGUUUUGCUAGAGUGUCGGAGAGGUAAGUGGAAUUCCUAGUGUAGCGGUGAAAUGCGUAGAUAUUAGGAGGAACACCAGUGGCGAAGGCGGCUUACUGGACGAUAACUGACGUUGAGGCUCGAAAGCGUGGGGAGCAA
rnacentral:rRNA from 1 species